GACAGAGGGUGCAAACGUUGUUCGGAAUUACUGGGCGUAAAGCGCGUGUAGGCUGCUUCGAAAGUCGGAUGUGAAAGCCCUGGGCUCAACCUAGGAAGUGCAUUCGAAGCUUCGAAGCUUGAGUUCUGGAGAGGAAGGCGGAAUUCUCGGUGUAGCGGUGAAAUGCGUAGAUAUCAAGAGGAACACCUGAGGCGAAGGCGGGUUGCUAGGCUGACACUGACGCUGAGUGCGCGAAAGCCAGGGGAGCAAACGGG
rnacentral:rRNA from 1 species